UACGUAGGGUCCGAGCGUUGUCCGGAAUUACUGGGCGUAAAGAGCUCGUAGGUGGUUUGUCGCGUUGUUCGUGAAAACUCACAGCUUAACUGUGGGCGUGCGGGCGAUACGGGCAGACUUGAGUACUGCAGGGGAGACUGGAAUUCCUGGUGUAGCGGUGGAAUGCGCAGAUAUCAGGAGGAACACCGGUGGCGAAGGCGCCACUCUGGGCCGGAACUGACGCUGAGGAGCGAAAGCGUGGGUAGCAAACAGG
rnacentral:rRNA from 1 species